AAUUAUGACAUUUUAACCAAACCCAGAAGCUUCUUUUUAUUUUAUAACCAAACCGACAAGCUUCUUCUUUUUAAUCAAACCCACAAGCUUCUCCCCUUCUUAGAAAUACAGUAUACUCACCUUCUUCUCCAAAAAUCUAUCAGCAAAUCAAGAAGCUUUUAGUAGAAAAAUAUAGUGAUCAUCUAGCUCAGACCGUUGCUGCAAUUUUCAGGUCCUCCCAGGGCCAUGUGUCUGCAGUUUCCCAUGGGAAAGGAAGGCCAAAAGAAAAGAUCAAAUUAUCAUCCAGUAUAAACAAUUGAUCGCCUAUGAAAUUUUUUGUUGAUGACUUCAUGUUCCUUGGAGACUUUACUCCUUACUGUGAGGUAUUUCAAGAAGUUGAAAAAGGAAGUCAAGAAAGACCAAGAGCUGGAAUGAAGGAUCAAAUGAAGAUCCAUGAGCGCAUAGCAAUUUUCUACUUAAAGGAUAUCGUGUAUGCUUUUAGAGGUAGUAGAUGUUAGCAUUAUUAAUGGCCUGACUUUGCUACUUAAGGCCACCCUGGUACGACUUGCAUAACAGAGAAUGAGAGAAAUGGAGAAGUAGACACAACAGAAAUAGAGAAUUCAGCCAUUUUCACAGGAAACAACCUAUGAUAAUAGGUUUGGAUCAACCCGCAACAAAUCUCCUCAUAGACCCUCCUUUUCUCCUGAGAGAUGUCUCAUCAAUAAAUUGUUAUAGUUUGAUUUGGAGAUGCUUGCUUCC